rnacentral:snRNA from 14 species
UCUGUGUCAAGGCUGGCAAAAGAGGAGGCCGAUGAGGCGCUCCGCCGAGGCAUGAGGAACAUCAUGAAACAGU